rnacentral:rRNA from 1 species
GUACGCUAUUCAGAGUUUGAUCCUGGCUCAGGCCGAACGCUGGCGGCGUGCCUAACACAUGCAAGUCGAGCGGAGACACACGACGGAUAGGAAGUUUUCGGAUGGAAUUGAAGGUGUGUGUUUUAGCGGCGGACGGGUGAGUAACGCGUGAGCAACCUGUCCUUCACAGGGGGAUAACACAGCGAAAGUUGUACUAAUACCGCAUAAGACCACGGUACGGCAUCGUGCAGGGGUCAAAGGAGGAAUCCGGUGAAGGGUGGGCUCGCGUCCGAUUAGAUAGUUGGUGGGGUAACGGCCUACCAAGUCGACGAUCGGUAGCCGACCUGAGAGGGUGAUCGGCCACAUUGGGACUGAGACACGGCCCAA